UCCUCGGUGGUCCAGUGGUUAGGGCUUAGUGCUUUUGAUGCACUGGCACAAGUUCAAUCCCUGUUCAGGGAA
rnacentral:tRNA from 1 species